rnacentral:rRNA from 1 species
AUUGAACGCUGGCGGCAGGCCUAACACAUGCAAGUCGAGCGGAUGAAGCGAGCUUGCUCCUGGAUUCAGCGGCGGACGGGUGAGUAAUGCCUAUGAAUCUGCCUGGUAGUGGGGGAUAACGUCCGGAAACGUGCGCUAAUACCGCAUACGUCGUGAGGGAGAAAGUGGGGGUUCUUCGGACAUCACGCUAUCAGAUGAGCCAAGGUCGGAUUAGCUAGUUGGUGGGGUAAAGGCCUACCAAGGCGACGAUCCGUCACUGGUCUGAGAGGAUGAUCAGUCACACUGGAACUGAGACACGGUCCAGACUCCUACGGGAGGCAGCAGUGGGGAAUAUGGGACAAUGGGCGAAAGCCUGAUCCAGCCAUGCCGCGUGUGUGAAGAAGGUCUUCGGAUUGUAAAACACUUUAAGUUGGGAGGAAGGGCAGUAAGUUAAUACCUUGCUGUUUUGACGUUACCAACAGAAUAAGCCCCGGCUAACUUCGUG